UCCGGUUUGUCACCGGCAGUCCCAUUAAAGUGCCCAACUAAAUGAUGGCAACUAAGGGCGAGGGUUGCGCUCGUUGCGGGACUUAACCCAACAUCUCACGACACGAGCUGACGACAGCCAUGCAGCACCUGUGUGCAGGUCCCCGAAGGGAAGGAAUCCAUCUCUGGAAACCGUCCUGCCAUGUCAAGGGCUGGUAAGGUUCUUCGCGUUGCCUCGAAUUAAACCACAUGCUCCACCGCUUGUGCGGGUCCCCGUCAAUUCCUUUGAGUUUUAAUCUUGCGACCGUACUCCCCAGGCGGAGUGCUUACUGCGUUAGCGGCGCCACCGAGCCACCGAAACACAGCAGAGCUGUGCUUCGGCGGCCCGACGGCUAGCACUCAUCGUUUACAGCGUGGACUAC
rnacentral:misc_RNA from 1 species